rnacentral:rRNA from 1 species
GGAGUUAGCCGGUGCUUCUUCUGUGAGUGAUGUCCUUCCUGCCGGCUAUUAACCCGCAGGCCUUCUUCCUCACUGAAAGUGCUUUACAACCCGAAGGCCUUCUUCACACACGCGGCAUGGCUGGAUCAGGGUUGCCCCCAUUGUCCAAUAUUCCCCACUGCUGCCUCCCGUAGGAGUCUGGGCCGUGUCUCAGUCCCAGUGUGGCUGAUCAUCCUCUCAGACCAGCUACGGAUCGUCGCCUUGGUGAGCCGUUACCUCACCAACCAGCUAAUCCGACAUAGGCUCAUCCGAUAGCGCGAGGCCCGAAGGUCCCCCGCUUUCCCCCGUAGGGCGUAUGCGGUAUUAGCCUGGGUUUCCCCAGGUUAUCCCCCACUACCGGGCAGAUUCCUAUGCAUUACUCACCCGUCCGCCGCUCGCCACCAGGGAGCAAGCUCCCCGUGCUGCCGCUCGACUUGCAUGUGUUAGGCCUGCCGCCAGCGUUCAAUCUGAGCCAGAAUCAAACUACUGA